UUUUUUUUCUUUCCGCCAAGAACUUCCUCUUAAAAACCAAAUUAGUCAGAGAUUUCCUGUGGUUUUAUAAUUUAACUGGAAGUCAGAAUCAGAAGUAGGAGCCCAUUACCAGGAAUGAGUACUCAGAAACUGCCCUUGUUCAUCAAAACAAACUUCAUUCUUUCAGCAAACUAUGACUGCAAGGAAAUAGGACAUCCCAGAGGGUAAAUGCUCACCUGUCCAAUGAUCAGUUGAGGCAUCUUGCUUUUAUUACCUUUCUGCAAAUAGAAGCAAAAGGAAAAGGAAAAGCAGCAGCUCCUCUGCCUGCUGGGAAGGAGAGAAGCAAAACCCAGCCCAUCUACCUCCGGCUAAAUUCCGAAAUCUUAGGAAUGGGGAGGGGUCUGAGGUCGGAUCUCACAGAAAUGGACCUGAUGUGCUUAUGAAAUGGCACAAUUCCCAGUUUUUCUGUCAUACUUCAGAAGCAUUUCAUUAUUUUAGUUAGCUAGAAGUUUCACUAGCCCUAUAAGAAGUUCGUAGAAAACUCUGCCAGUUCACUUUCUGUAUUUGGAUCCCAAGCCAGCUGAUCCAGGAAGCAAAUCACUUACACAGCACUAUUGAUAGAUUCAUUUCAGAUGGUAAACAUUACUCGAAAGUACAGAUGUGGUUUAUGAUGUAUACAGCUUAUAAAUAACUUUAUCAGAUUGAAGGAUGUCACCCUAAUGUGCCACAUGGAUAUUUUACUGACAAAAAAAAGUGUGGGGGGGGGAGGUGGGGGGAGAUACUUUACUUCAAAGGGGCACAAUAAAAAGAGCUAGGAAAAGCAAAGUAGGAACACAGGAAUUUAUAUGUAUUGAACACUAUACGGAAUUGUAUUAUACUCCACACAUGCAAGAGGUAUUUACUAAUUGCUUCUGUGUUCAAACUAAGAGAAAAUCUCUUCCACACAGUGUGAUGUUUAAUAAUGUAUCAGUCAUGUCUUUUGGAUGAGUGCCUGAAGUGGCUUUACCAACCCAUGGUUCCAAGUAAUGUGCUUCUAAACCUACUGAUUCAUUUAUAUAUACCGUAUAUCCUUCCAAAAAGUCUAAACCCUUAAGAAUAGGACUCAUGGAAGGUAGUAUGGGGCUAACCCUCCUCAAAAACUACCUUUGGGGGGCACCUGGGUGGCCCAGUCGGUUAAGUGUCUGACUCUUGUUGCGGCUCAGGUCAUGACCUCAGGUGGUGAGAUGGGAGCCCAGCGUCAGGCUCCACGCUCAGUGGGGAGUCUGCUGGAGACUCUCUCCCACUCCUUCCCCCUCUGUUUUUCUCCUUGACUCGUUCUCUUUUUUCUCUCUCUCUAACAUAAACAAAAAAAUAAUAGUAAAUGAAAUUGUUAAAAACAAAACAAAACAAAAGAAAAACUACCUCUGGACAAGAUUUACAUUACAAAGUAAGUAGGGGGAGUUCUUCAUUUAUUCUCUUUAAUCUUUCUAAUCUCAAAUAUGGGAGGGGGCCUCAACGGACUAGAAUUUUGCCAAAAUACAUGGUCUUCCAUACAAGGGAAAUUAGUUACCAUAUUAUUUGUCUGCACAGAUACAAUCAAAUUAAUGCAGACUCCCACCUUGUGAGCUUUUUGGAACUAGAAGCUAUGCAUCUUCCGGGAAUGCCUGCUUUUCUGUAUCUUCAUUGGCAAGAGAGAUCACGGAUGAGCAAUGGUUUCGUAAAGCGUGCAAGACUACUAAAAUGCGCAUUAUUUUGAUUUUUGUAGCUUCUUUCUUCUCUGAGCCAGUACACUUCAAAAUGUGGACUCUCUAAGAAAGAAGAUUAAGUUACUGGUUUGACCAGUUUCCCAAAUGAUAGAUGUAAAGAGGCCCCUUUCAGGGAUUUGUGAUCUGCUUUAGGUUGCCUCAAGGAGGCUUUUGCAACACUAUGAGGAUUGGGGGUGGUUUCGUUUUGCCUUGGGUUUUGAGUGCCAACCUAAGGACCACUGGUUUAAGUAAGGCUAACACCCAAACCCCUCAGAAACAGACCCUAGCUGUCUGUGUCUACAUUCUGCCUGGAGUCUCAUACACUCCAUUCAGACUUGAACUCUGGUGCGUUGUUCCCACCUCUAUGCGCACAAGUUCUGGAAGGCUGAAAACAGUGUGAAGCCUUGGAUUUGAUUUUUCCUUAAUCCUCUAAUCAUCUCAUGAUCUAGGUAAAGGAAUCAGUGAAUAAAUCAGUAAAUCUUGCCAGCAACCUUUGAUGGCCACUUCAGGAAGCAGCAGGUCUACGUGGUGAGUCACAGACAGGGACAUCCUGUGCAUGGUUGUCUUCUCAAGUGCUACUUGCUGAAACAGAGCUGUCAUGAAGGGUUAGGGACAAAAUAAAGGGUUAGCCCCGGAAUCUGACUUAAUUUCCUCAUGAAGUUAAUUCCUUGUAAGGAGAAACUUUUGCCUUGGCAAGAGAAUUGCACAUAGCCUACGUUCCAGACUCAUCAGCUGCAUACAAGGGGUGAAAAUUCUGUGCAAAGGGUUGUGGGGAAGAGAACACUCUCUGGCCCUUUGCCACCACCCCAGCCCAGGAUCCUCACAGCAUCUCUACUUCAACUGAACAGAUCCAGAGAGCAGCCUCUUGAAGUCCUCCCCUGGAAGGUCCUGCUUGGAGGACCACAAGCAUCUUUAGAAAAUGCAGAUUCAUCCGACCUCCUUGAGGCCCACUGUAUCUCGAGUGGAUAAACAAUGUGGUUUUAGAAUGUUCAUUCCAUCUUCUUGCCUAUGCCAAUGUGAUUCCAAAACAACCAGUGGAGAAGCGAAAAAUUCAUUUUCAUGCUACUGGUUUGAGUGCUUUUUGGAAUUGACUAUAUUUGGUCUAAAACUGACUGUUUUCUCAUUGAACGAGCCAACAUUCCCAAGGAGCAUUUAAAUGAGCUGUAGCGUCACAGCAUGGGAAUGGCUGAGCACUGCACCAAGCUCUAUUUUCACUUGAUUAUAUGUGUAUUUAUUAUACAAAAAUAGAGCAAAAAUAUGACUCUGCCAAGAGACUCUCCUACAUUGUAGUAUAAGAGCGAGCUAGGAUUUCUUUAAAUUGAAGAGCUGCCUGCUUGUUUUGUUUUCACAGCUGUCAGCCUUUUUUAUGUCAAAAAUUUCCCCCCAAUUGGUUGUUAUUCAUUGUGCUUAUUAUUUAGGAGAAUUUACUGGUAGCAAAGUGUGCUUGCUGGUAACACAGAAAGAGGCAGUUCUCUGCUCUGUCAAUUUGUGGUAGAUUGAACUGUUCAGAUAAAAUAAAAACUGGGAAAAUGGCCCUGAACAUGGCCAGCUUGCCUCCGAUUUAAACAGAUAGGUUUUCUUCACUGCCACAGCCUUCUGGAAGACCUGCUUUCAUCUGGGACCAGAAUAGAGAUGCGGCACUAAGAGCCCUUGCCAAAGGGCAGUCUUGAAGUGCUUCCAACUCUAGAGGGAAGUCUCUUGGGGGAAGCCUGUUUUCUACCUUGGGCAACGUAACCUGAAAUUCCCAAACCAACCAAUUCUCCACAGAUUGUGUUCAUGUGCACGAACAGGGAGAGAAGAAACUCUCUCCCCACUGUAGCAACUGCACCCCAGAGGACACUCCUCAGAGGCCGAGAACGUCCAGGUUAUAGGAAUGGAAUGGAGCCACUGAAGAAAAUGGUCCAUUAUGGAAUGUUCUGUGGGUAAGAACGUCCGUUAAUUAAGAAGCGAGUCGAAAUUACUAAUGGACUUCAGAAUGGCCGCCAACCAGCUGCCAGUUGGCCAUAGCUUGGUGACAGAUGGUAGUGACUGAUGUGCACUAGAUCUGACCUAGAGAUAGCCCAUCAUUUAUUAAAUCGCAGGCCCAAAUAAAAUUCCAUGCAUUGCAGCAGUUCACCCUUAUGUCUCCCAGAGAGGUGCACUGAGAACAUUCCUGACCUGCCACCCCUGUUGCAGACGGCAAAGUAUUCAAAGGUCUGAAAUAUAGCACACAGGGAAGAAAGCCCCCAGAAAAAAACAAAAAGGUUGAAGGAGAGCCACUUGAGUGAGGAGUAGUGUAAAAUGGGAGCUGUGUUCGUGCUAAUCCGGUUUGUUACCUCACAGCACCACGAUGCACCCCGCCCCUCGGCCUUUUUAAAAUCCAGGGAUGCUCACUCCCUACAGCAUGUGUCAGGUCGUGACUGUCUGGGCUCUGCUUUAAUCUGUCAUCAUGUUCUCAGAGGGAAGAGAGCCGCCCCAGACCAGCCCCAGAACCUGCCUACUGCGGGCUCUCGCAGAAACAAAUCACCGAAGUGGGCUCAUCGAAAGACCCAAUUACUGUCACCGGACUCACUGUCUGAGUAUUUGGGAAAAUUAACCUUAGCUGUGCUUUCAAGACACUAGGCUCAAAAAGACCAGGGGGAAGAAAUCCUACUGCUGUAAAGGCAGGUAGAUCUAGAAAGGCAUUUUAUAGAGGAAAGAUAGCUCUGUUUUAAAAUCUUUUAUGUAACAUGUGCUAGAACUUCCUUCGUGUUGUCAAAAUGUCAUGUAGCUUCCUGUCCUAUUUCAAAAAUGAUAUGUAAAAGAUGUGCUGGAAUACAAGAUACGUGCAUUCAAGAAGCAAAAACGGGACAGAGACGGGUGGCAUUGGGUCGGAUUAAGGUUAUCCUUUUAUUUAUUUCAAAGAGGCAGAGCACUGCUCUUGACAAAGUUCACAUUUAACAU
rnacentral:lncRNA from 1 species